GGGAGCGUGUUCGCGGCUGGUGCCCGGCCCGGUCUUCAAAACCGGUGAGGGGUCGCGAGAGCGGCUCCUGGUGGGUUCGAUUCCCAUACGCUCCCGCCA
rnacentral:tRNA from 1 species